CCUACGGGUGGCUGCAGUGGGGAAUAUUGCGCAAUGGGCGACAGCCUGACGCAGCGACGCCGCGGGAGGGAUGAAGGUCUUCGGAUCGUAAAACUCUGUGAGCAGGGAAGAACGGUCACUGUGCUAAUCAGCAGUGAAUUGACGGUACCUGCAAAGGAAGCAACGGCUAACUCCGUGCCAGCAGCCGCUGUAAUACGGAGGGUGCGAGCGUUAAUCGGAAUUACUGGGCGUAAAGCGCUCGUAGGCGGUAUGCUAAGUCAAGGGUGAAAGCCCCGCGCUCAACGUGGGAACUGCCUUUGAAACUGGCAAACUUGAGUGUGUGAGAGGAUAGUGGAAUUCCAGGUGUAGGAGUGAAAUCCGUAGAUAUCUGGAGGAACAUCAGUGGCGAAGGCGACUAUCUGGCACAUAACUGACGCUGAGGAGCGAAAGCGUGGGUAGCAAACAGGAUUAGAUACCCUUGUAGUC
rnacentral:rRNA from 1 species